rnacentral:rRNA from 1 species
UGUGCCAGCAGCCGCGGUAAUACCAGCACCUCGAGUGGUCAGGAGGUUUAUUGGGCCUAAAGCAUCCGUAGCCGGCUGUUCAAGUUUCCGGUUAAAUCCACACGCUUAACGUAUGGGCUGCCGGAAAUACUGUUCAGCUAGGGAGUGGGAGAGGUAGACGGUACUCGAUAGGAAGGGGUAAAAUCCUUUGAUCUAUUGAUGACCACCUGUGGCGAAGGCGGUCUACCAGAACACGUUCGACGGUGAGGGAUGAAAGCUGGGGGAGCAAACCGGAUUAGAUACCCGGGUAGUCCCAGCUGUAAACUAUGCAAACUCAGUGACGCAUUGGCUUGUGGCCAAUGCAGUGCUGCAGGGAAGCCGUUAAGUUUGCCGCCUGGGAAGUACGUACGCAAGUAUGAAACUUAAAGGAAUUGGCGGGGGAGCGCCACAAGGGGUGAAGCCUGCGGUUCAAUUGGAGUCAACGCCAGAAAUCUUACCCAGAGAGACAGCAGAAUGAAGGUCAAGCUGAAGACUUUACCAGACAAGCUGAGAGGUGGUGCAUGGCCGUCGCCAGCUCGUGCCGUGAGAUGUCCUGUUAAGUCAGGUAACGAGCGAGAUCCCUGCCUCUAGUUGCCACCAUUACUCUCAGGAGUAGUGGGGCGAAUUAGCGGGACCGCCGCAGUUAAUGCGGAGGAAGGAAGGGGCCACGGCGGGUCAGUAUGCCCCGAAACUCUGGGGCCACACGCGGGCUGCAAUGGUAGUGACAAUUGGUUCCGAAUCCGAAAGGAGGAGGUAAUCCUCAAACGCUACCACAGUUAUGACUGAGGGCUGCAACUCGCCCUCACGAAUAUGGAAUCCCUAGUAACUGCGUGUCAUUAUCGCGCGGUGAAUACGUCCCUGCUCCUUGCACACACCGCCCGUCACACCAUGGGG